AUGAACGCUAGCGGCAGGCUUAACACAUGCAAGUCGAGGGCAACACGGGUAGCAAUACCUGGUGGCGACCGGCGCAAGGGUGCGUAACGCGUGAGCAACAUGCCCUAUACAGGGGGAUAAUCCAGGGAAACUUGGUCUAAUAUCCCAUAGUAUUUAGAGGUGGCAUCACCACUAAAUUAAAGCUUCGGUGGUAUAGGAUUGGCUCGCGUGACAUUAGCUGGAUGGUGGGGUAACGGCUCACCAUGGCGAUGAUGUCUAGGGGUUCUGAGAGGAAGACCCCCACACUGGGACUGAGACACGGCCCAGACUCCUACGGGAGGCAGCAGUGAGGAAUAUUGGACAAUGGAUGGAAAUCUGAUCCAGCCAUGCCGCGUGCAGGAAGACGGCCCUAUGGGUUGUAAACUGCUUUUAUAUGGGAGCAAUAAGGUUUACGCGUAGACCGAUGAGAGUACCAUAUGAAUAAGCAUCGGCUAACUCCGUG
rnacentral:rRNA from 1 species